rnacentral:rRNA from 1 species
GAUGAACGCUGGCGGCGUGCCUAAUACAUGCAAGUCGAGCGAACAGACGAGGAGCUUGCUCCUCUGACGUUAGCGGCGGACGGGUGAGUAACACGUGGAUAACCUACCUAUAAGACUGGGAUAACUUCGGGAAACCGGAGCUAAUACCGGAUAAUAUAUUGAACCGCAUGGUUCAAUAGUGAAAGACGGUUUUGCUGUCACUUAUAGAUGGAUCCGCGCCGCAUUAGCUAGUUGGUAAGGUAACGGCAUACCAAGGCAACGAUGCGUAACCGACCUGAGAGGGUGAUCGGCCACACGGGAACUGAGACACGGUCCAGACUCCUACGGGAGGCAGCAUUAGGGAAUCUUCCGCAAAGGGCGAAAGCCUGACGGAGCAACGCCGCUUGAGUGAUGAAGGUCUUCGGAUCGUAAAACUCUGUUAUUAGGGAAGAACAAAUGUGUAAGUAACUAUGCACGUCUUGACGGUACCUAAUCAGAAAGCCACGGCUAACUACGUG